UGGGGAAUAUUGCGCAAUGGGGGAAACCCUGACGCAGCGACGCCGCGUGAGCGAUGAAGGCCUAGGGUUGUAAAGCUCUGUUUUAAGGGACGAAUGUUACGGGGAGUAAUAUACCCCGUAAAUGACGGUACCUUAAGAGGAAGCCCCGGCUAACUACGUGCCAGCAGCCGCGGUAAGACGUAGGGGGCGAGCGUUGUCCGGAAUUACUGGGCGUAAAGAGCACGUAGGCGGGAACUUAAGUCAGGUGUGAAAGACCGGGGCUCAACCUCGGGGGUGCACUUGAAACUGGGUUGCUUGAGGGCAGGAGAGGAAAGUAGAAUUCCUGGUGUAGCGGUGAAAUGCGUAGAAAUCAGGAGGAAUACCAGUGGCGAAGGCGACUUUCUGGACUGACCCUGACGCUGAGGUGCGAAAGCGUGGGUAGCAAACAG
rnacentral:rRNA from 1 species